rnacentral:rRNA from 1 species
UACGGGGGGGUGCGAGCGUUGUCCGGAAUCACUGGGCGUAAAGGGCGCGUAGGUGGUCUGAUAAGGGUGUGGUGAAAGCCCGGGGCUCAACCCCGGGUCGGCCGUGCCGACUGUCAGACUAGAGUGCUGUAGGGGCAGGCGGAAUUCCGGGUGUAGCGGUGGAAUGCGUAGAGAUCCGGAGGAAGACCGGUGGCGAAGGCGGCCUGCUGGGCAGAUACUGACACUGAGGCGCGACAGCGUGGGGAGCAAACAGG